rnacentral:rRNA from 1 species
GGGCCCGCACAAGCAGUGGAGCAUGUGGUUUAAUUCGAUGAUACGCGAGGAACCUUACCAGGGCUUAAAUGCAGAACGACAGAGGUGGAAACACCUCCUUCUUCGGACGGUCUGCAAGGUGCUGCAUGGUUGUCGUCAGCUCGUGCUGUGAAGUGUCGGGUUAAGUCCCAUAACGAGCGCAACCCCUAUUUCUAGUUGCCAGCGGUUCGGCCGGGGACUCUAGAGAAACUGCCAGCGUAAGCUGUGAGGAAGGUGGGGAUGACGUCAAAUCAUCACGGCCCUUACAUCCUGGGCCACACACGUGCUACAAUGGUGGGGACAACAGGUUGCCAACCCGCGAGGGUGAGCC